CUGAGUUAUCACAACUCCAACCCAUGUGAACUAUACCACUGUUGCCUCGGCGGGAGGACGCCUACCCGGUACUUACCCUGUAGGCCAGCCCCGCCGGCGGAUUUUCAGACUCUUGUUUCUUUGUAACACUUCUGAGUAACAUUUUGAAAUAAGUCA
rnacentral:misc_RNA from 1 species